UCGAGAAUAAUUCACAAUGGGGGCAACCCUGAUGGUGCAACGCCGCGUGGAGGAUGAAGGUCUUCGGAUUGUAAACUCCUGUCAUCCGGGAGCAAGACCUGACGGUGAAUAGCCGGCAGGGUUGAUAGUACCGGAAGAGGAAGGGACGGCUAACUUCGUGCCAGCAGCCGCGGUAAUACGAAGGUCCCGAGCGUUGUUCGGAAUCACUGGGCGUAAAGGGAGCGUAGGCGGCGUGGUAAGUCAGACGUG
rnacentral:rRNA from 1 species